CUGUCUGUAGUAAGUGUAACACUGAACAACUCUUUAUUAUCAGACUGCCCCAAUAAGUCCAUUAAAACGCUCCAAUUAAUUCAGAACGCUGCAGCACGAGUACUGACAGGAACUAGAAAAAGAGAUCACAUCUCUCCUGUACUAGCUUCUCUGCAUUGGCUCCCUGUAAAAUGUAGAAUAGAAUUUAAAAUCCUCCUCCUCACCUAUAAAGCUCUUCAUGGUCAGGCCCCUUCAUAUCUUAAAGAGCUCAUAGUACCCUAUUACCCCUCUAGAACACUACGUUCUCUGAAUGCUGGGCUACUUGUGGUUCCUAUAGUCUCUAAAAGUAGAACAGGAGCCAGAGCCUUCAGUUACCAAGCUCCUCUCUUGUGGAACCAGCUUCCAGUUGUGGUUCUGGAGGCAGACACCCUCACCACAUUCAAGAGUAGGCUUAAGACAUUCCUCUUUGAUAAAGCUUAUAGUUAGGGCUGGAUCAGGUGAGUCCUGAACCAUCCCUUAGUUAUGCUGCUAUAGGCCUAGACUAUCGGGGGAUUUCCCAUGGUGCACUGAGCUCCUCCCUUCCUCUCUCUUUCUGCACUCAUUCAUGUCCCAUUAAUGCAUGUUACUAACUUCACUUCUUCCCCGGAGUUCUUGUGCUUUCUCGUCUUGCAGGUUCUCAUGGAUCCUGGUGGAGCCUCCUGCCAUGGUCCUGCUUGACUGCCAUUGCCAAUACUGUUGUUGCUGUGCACCUGUCUGUCUGUCUGUCGCUCUCUCUCUCUCUCUCUCUCUCUCUCUCUCUCUCUCUCUCUCACCCCAACUGGUCGAGACAGACGACCACCCACCUAGAGCCGGAGGAUCUGUCCUAGGUUUCUGCCUUUUAACAGGCAGUUUUUCCUUGCCCUUGUCGCCAAGUGCUUGCUCAUGGUGGUACUGUUGGGUCUCUGUAAUUAAUGUUAAAGAGUUCGGUCUAGACCUGCUCUAUUUGAAAAGUGUCCUGAGAUAACUUCUGUUAUGAAUUGGCGCUAUACAAAUAAAAUUGAAUUGAAAAUUGAAUUGAGUUCCACAAGGUUCUGUACUUGGACCAAUACUAUUUACUUUAUAUAUGCUCCCUUUACGCAA